AUGAACGCUGGCGGCGUGCCUAAUACAUGCAAGUCGAGCGAACAGACGAGGAGCUUGCUCCUCUGACGUUAGCGGCGGACGGGUGAGUAACCGGUGGAAAACCUACCUUUAAGCCUGGAAUAACUUGGGGAACCGGGGGCUAAUACCGGUAAUUAUUUUAAACCGAUGGGUUAAUUAGUGAAAACGGGUUUUGCUGUACUUUUUAGAUGGAUCGCGGCGGAUUAGGUAGUUGGUAAGGUAACGGCUUACCAAGGCAACGAUGCGUAGCCGACCUGAGAGGGUGAUCGGCCACACUGGAACUGAGACACGGUCCAGACUCCUACGGGAGGCAGCAGUAGGGAAUCUUCCGCAAUGGGCGAAAGCCUGACGGAGCAACGCCGCGUGAGUGAUGAAGGUCUUCGGAUCGUAAAACUCUGUUAUUAGGGAAGAACAAAUGUGUAAGUAACUAUGCACGUCUUGACGGUACCUAAUCAGAAAGCCACGGCUAACUACGUG
rnacentral:rRNA from 1 species